rnacentral:misc_RNA from 2 species
CUUCAGAUGAUGAUCCCAAGCCUUCUGGCGUUCUGUUCAUCAAAUUUCAAAAGCGUUUAAGAAACAGGUAAAAAAGCGUUUAAGCAGAUAUAAAGCGUUUAAGAAACAUAUAAAGAAGGUGUUUAAGAAACAGGUAAAAAGGUGUUUAAGAAACAUAUCUGUUUCUUAAACAUAUCUUUUGUUUUCUUUUAUCUGUCCCGAGGAAGGUUUUUACCGAUUUACUCCUGAGGGCUUGUAGCUCAGUUGGUUAGAGCGCGCGCUUGAUAAGCGUGAGGUCGGAGGUUCAAGUCCUCCCAGGCCCACCAAUUUAUGAUUGCUGAUAAGUUUGCUGAUAAGUUUUUUGCGAAUGUUUUGAUGGUCUUUUAUCUUACGAUCUUUCACUUUUAUGUUGCAAUCUUUCUAAAAGUAUUUGAACUGUUUUAGGGGCCGUAGCUCAGCUGGGAGAGCACCUUCUUUGCAAGCAGGGGGUCGUCGGUUC